CGGACUGAGUGGCGAAAGGGGCAGUAAUGCGUGGGUAACCUACCCUGGGGAUGGGCAUAGCCGGUCUAACGGCCGGGUAAUUCCCAGCGAUGUCACGAGGGGACAUCCUCUUGUGACCAAAUGAAUUUCGCCCUGGGAGGGGCUCACGUCGUAUUAGCUAGUUGGUGGGGUAACGGCCUACCAAGGCAAAGAUGCGUAGCGGGUGUGAGAGCACGACCCGCGCCACUGGCACUGAGACACUGGCCAGACACCUACGGGUGGCUGCAGUCGAGGAUCUUUGGCAAUGGGCGCAAGCCUGACCAAGCGACGCCGCGUGUGCGAUGAAGGCCUUCGGGUUGUAAAGCACUGCCGAGGGGGAUCAAAGCCCGCAAGGGCUUGAGAGAUCCCUGGAGGAAGCACGGGCUAAGUUCGUGCCAGCAGCCGCGGUAAGACGAACCGUGCGAACGUU
rnacentral:rRNA from 1 species